AUUGCUAUCAUCAUGUCAAACAAUAACAACAACAACAAUCAAGAAAAAUCGAAUCCAUCAAGUGGUGGGAGAUGAACACGGUUAUCCUCUUCCUCAAGCUUCUUCACAUGGAUCUCAAGAAGGAACUCCUAAUGAUCUAUCUGAACAUGCUGAGGGAGGAGUUGAAACAAGAGAUGAGCUUCUACAAAAAAUAAUUGAUGCACGAAUUGACAGAGCUUUGGAAUCUUUAGUUAGUCGGUUGCCUGCUGCACCGAAUAAUAUCACGUUGGAAAACCCCCGCUCUGAUCUAGUUAAUUCUAGUAAUGGGGCAACCCCUAGUGAUUCGCAAGAAGGAGAACCAUGUAACUCAGAUAAUUCUCAUUUUCAAAAUUAGUACUAACUCUGAAACAGCUCAAGGAUCAAAGUUAGUAGAGUUGAGUUCCUUUUUGAUUUUUUGUUUCUG
rnacentral:lncRNA from 1 species